rnacentral:rRNA from 1 species
AUUGAACGCUGGCGGCAUGCUUUACACAUGCAAGUCGAACGGCAGCGCGGGCUUCGGCCUGGCGGCGAGUGGCGAACGGGUGAGUAAUACAUCGGAACGUGCCCAGUAGUGGGGGAUAGCUCGGCGAAAGCCGGAUUAAUACCGCUUACGACCUGAGGGUGAAAGCGGGGGAUCUUCGGACCUCGCGCUAUUGGAGCGGCCGAUGGCAGAUUAGCUAGUUGGUGGGGCAAAGGCCUACCAAGGCGACGAUCUGUAGCUGGUCUGAGAGGACGACCAGCCACACUGGGACUGAGACACGGCCCAGACUCCUACGGGAGGCAGCAGUGGGGAAUUUUGGACAAAGGGCGAAAGCCUGAUCCAGCAAUGCCGCGUGUGUGAUGAAGGCCUUCGGGUUGUAAAGCACUUUUGGCGGGAACGAAAAGGACUGUGCCAAUACCACGGUUCGAUGACGGUACCCGCAGAAUAAGCACCGGCUAACUACGUG